GGGGUGUAGAAAAAUCUUAGAGCUCCAUUGUUUACGUUUAUUUUAAAAAAUUGAAACAAUGACCCUGACUUUACUGAGGAUUAAAUGAGAUACUUUAUGUAUAUUUAUUUUUAUUAAAUGUGUUGACGAUUAUAUCUUAUUUUUCUGGUGCUUCAUGAUGAUAUAUACACACACUCUGAUUUGUUAUUCUCAGGACCUCUGUGAGAUGUACAUGAUGGGUAUAAAUCCAAUUGAUAGAUAAGGGAACAAACUAAGACACCAGUAUUGCACUUUACAUUAAAUAACUUGUCUAAGCUCUGUCUCUUUCCUAUUCCAAUUUGAAUAUGCCUGAACAGUCCCUAUGUCUAACAGAUAUGUUCUUGUACACUAAUAUUCUUGAGGAGUUUAAGAGAAUUUUUAGAACAUCAGAAAUCAUUAAUAUCUUAACAUAACUAUUAAAACGAAUACUAUCAAGUUCGAAGAAAUAAUCUACAAUAGGGGAUUUGAUUAGAAGAAAGAAAAAGAAGAAAAAGAAAGAAGCGAGAAGAAGAAAAGAGUUGGCACUAAGGUUUGCAGGGAGCGAAAUAUAAAAGGAAAUGCAGAAGGAAGUGUUGAUGAACUCCAGGAUGAUAUUACCAGUCUACAAGAAAAUAUGGCAAAGCAAUGCUGGGAGCAGGCAAAGGUAUUAAAGGGGGAUACAGUUUAAAACAUAGAAACCUCCCCAGAGUUGUGAGUCUCUGGAUUUUGAAAAACAUUGAGAUUCCAUCAGUUAACAUGUAUCUCUCUCCCAAAGCGUUCUCUGUCUUUACUUAAUCAACUAUCCAUUUUGUGUGGCUGCAGUGUGGGAUCUGUGUUUUUCCCUUCUUAUCUCUCUCUCUCUCUCACACACACACACUCACACUCACUCACACCCCUGCCUAGCAGUAUGAAAAAAAGAGAAAGAAGCAGAUAUUUCUUCAAAACAGAAUCCCCCGACCCCCAUACUUAUGAAUAUUCCAGUGCUCUGAUAAAUGUGAUCAAUCAUAGAUUAUUUAGGUUUGACAAAUGCC
rnacentral:lncRNA from 1 species